AGGGCCGCCACAAUGCAUCCGGGAAUGGUGCCCAAAAGAUAGAAAGAGGCGAUCCAGGAAGCAUCGUCGGAUGUUAUCGGGACGUGGGAUUCGGAUGACUUCAGUAUUGGCAAGAGAUAUAGAUGAAACGCUCUAAUGCUACCAGGAAAGAUGACCAGGAACCUCCACGAGCCUAACGACACCCGGAUUUUAAUGCAUUUCAGAUGGAAUAACAAGGCAUCCAUGGCGCCGUAGAUUAUAUAUGUUACUUUAUCAGCGCUUUCCUUAUCAGCGAUCGUGUCAAAUCUGUCGCUGUCCCCACUUGUCGUCACUUGAGACUGUUUACUUAUUACUAGUAAGUUAGUUCGCAUGAAGGACAGGUAGAAUAAACAUUGAAUUAUUUUUCUGCCCACGUGCGAGCUAUUGCAAGCUUUUGCGCGUGCUUGAUUAUUCAAGACGGCGACAAAGGUCUUAAAGUAACCCAAUUAAAACACGAUAAAGGCACGGUGUAAUUCUUUGAAUUGUGCAAUUAAUGCGCGUUUCGAAGAGGCAAUAUCAAAUAUCUCGAGGGAUUACUGUACCGCUAUGUGUACUCGGUACGAAAUGAUACCACGUCUCUUGAUUAUCAACUUCAUUGUACGACAAGUCAAUAAAAUUGGUAAUGUCUUUAGUAGAAAUGGUAUUCAUUUUUUAUCAGUUGCUUUACUUCUGUCAAGUAAGAAGUGAAACCACUUGGAAUUCCAAUCAAGGUGUAACGCUUUGCUCGCAAUUAUUGCGCACAAAAGAUGCGCAGUUAUUACGCAAAGUCUGCAUCCCUGUACUGAAUAAAAACAAGACAAUUAAUAGACUAUUAAAUUGAACUAUUAAUAAGCAAAUCUAAAAAAAAUCUGUUUGUUAAUACUAGAUAAUAAUUAGAUAGGUGUCUACGCACAUUUUUAAAAAAUUGCUUCAGUUACUCGAUAAAGUUUUAUCAAGUUGUUGUCCAUUCUCUAUAAGAGAAUAAGUGUCGAAGGAAAUUGCAUGCAUUUUUAUUAGAGGCAAUAAUUAAUAUAACAAUCAUUUUUGACAAACUAUAACAUUCAAUUUUGUCGUUAAAUAUUAAUAAAAUUUUCAAAGAAUGAAAAAGACAUUAGCGCCAUGUUCGCCACUCUGACAUUUAAAUGUCAUUUCAAUUAAUUCGAAUGCAGUAAUAUUUAUAUAAGAAAGAUUAAAUAUACUGCUGCCUUUCGUAUUAUUUAGCUACAUUAAGUAUUAAUCGAGUGAAUUUUCAUAGAAAAUUGCAAAAACGCGAUAAUCGCGUAUUUGUUUUGGUUAUGCAGAUAUUUAAUAGGAUUAAUAUUUUAUAUAUUAAUUAAAAAGAGAAAAUCCUAUACGUGGGGUUAUUUAUAAAUAAUGCCUUUUUGUUGUGCCGCUGAUUAACGGCAGUAACGAACGUGCAAUAACAUUACAAGCUUAUUGGUAUAAGUAAUUAAUCACUUUACUGCAUCGCCAGCUGUGAUAUAAUAGUCUCCCUUGGAAACAACGGUCUCUCUGGAACUGUCAUGAAUAAUGGACGGUAACAGUGGACAAGCAAGAGCAAAAAAAGUGUGAUCAUUAUUUUUUGUAAUGAACAUUUUUUAAACCAUUGUUUAUAUUCUGCUCGCGCGUGAAGGGUAGAUACAUAAAUUCUGUUAGUACAGAUUGUGUCGUGGAUUACAAAAUAAGAUACUCUUACGUCAAAAUGGUAAUGAGAAAUCAUUUUUAUUUCUUUACAUAUCUGAGAUAAGAUUUAAAAGAUGUUACAGAGAUGUCUUUUCUUUCUAAGAGAUUGAGUGUCGCUCAGAUAGUUCUAUCGAUAGUUCUGAUAGUGAAAUGUCUUUGAAAUUUUAAGAGCCUCUUAGAUGACUACGAGACUUAUAGUGUCAUCUAGGAUUCCGAUCUUUAUCUUUAUCUUUAAUCUCUUUUUAUACUUUCUACCUCCCUACUUUCUUCUUCCUACAUAUAUCAUUGCGUAACAUAUCACGUGAGCCACUUCGUGAUUCGUACUGUUUGAAAUAAGGAGAUAAUUUGUGCGCAUAGCAAUGCAUUUUCACAAGAAUGAUCAUUGUUUAUAAACUCUCUUAAUUCCAAGGAAUCUUUUCUUGGCCACUUUUAAAUCAAACAUACAAUGUUAUGCGUUAUCGCGUUUUGAAACCUUGAUAAUUUCUGGCGUAAAUAUGCGCUUUGCACUGUAUCACUAAUACCUGUACGCAGACGUGGUGCAUCGCAAGUUUUUUUUUCUUUUGCGAAAACGCACGAAUAUUCCUUAUCGGCCGUAAUUAGCCUGCGGAAAAUAGAUCGUGUGUUUUCGCAAUAGAGUCAUAUUGUUACAAAGAUACAAAGUCUUAUAAACGUUCAACAUUAUGUGUAGUUUUCCACGAUGCAGAUAAACACAAUUGCUUUUCAGAGACGCAUUAAAUUAAAUGGAAAAUAGAUUUUUGUAAAA
rnacentral:lncRNA from 13 species